UACGAAGGGGGCUAGCGUUGUUCGGAAUUACUGGGCGUAAAGCGCACGUAGGCGGACAUUUAAGUCAGGGGUGAAAUCCCAGAGCUCAACUCUGGAACUGCCUUUGAUACUGGGUGUCUUGAGUAUGGAAGAGGUGAGUGGAAUUCCGAGUGUAGAGGUGAAAUUCGUAGAUAUUCGGAGGAACACCAGUGGCGAAAGCGGCUCACUGGUCCAUUACUGACGCUGAGGUGCGAAAGCGUGGGGAGCAAACAGG
rnacentral:rRNA from 1 species